AAACCAUGGUGUGGACACUUCCUUAAUAAUUCCUUAUAUCUUUCUCAUGAUUCAUAUAAUGACUCAUUGUCGUUUUGCAUGAAUGAUGUGAUGUCAUUUUGCAUCU